UCACAACACAUUUGAAGCCUAAUUGAUAUAUAUAUAUCAAAUGAGUCUAUUCUAACAACACCUUAAGACCUUAUUCUAACGACACCGACCUUAUUCUGCUAACACCGUCGACCCGGCCCUCCCUCCUACCUUCUUCCUCCCCCGCACCUACCCCCACCUCCCCUCCAGGUUCCAUUGCCGGCCUCCCUCCCCGCGACCCAUCCCCACCCCCGCUCCCACCUGCGCCGCCGGACCCCGCCCCCACCACGCGCCAUCCCCACCACGCACCGCAGGAGCCCCGACACGCCGCACGCCGCCCGAGCCUCGCCCCGCUCCGCGCUGCUGGAGCCCCCUCCCCCCAAUCGCCAUGCGCCGCCGUGCCCAGCCAUCCCUGCCCAACCACGCACCACCGGGAGCCCCGCCCCUCUCCUCACCUUCUUUUGUGGAUAUCCGACAUGGGAUCCAGCGGGCUACCCUGGCCUCUUCCUCUCCGACAUCCGCUGACAUCCGCGGGCCAGUACCACACCAGCGAGAAGCUCAGCCAGAUCCUCCUCUGGCUCCGUCGUCGUGCCUCCGUCGUCAGAUCGGGAGCUCAGCCACCCCGCGCCAUCAACACUAUACUGCCUCCUCCCGCGCGUGCAGUGCACAUCCUGCCACGCAGCAGUCAACGACGGUGGAAACUGCUGCAGUGCAGAGUGUGUUUUUGGUGCACCCUGACGACGACCCAUCCUCCCCGACCUCUCCCAUGUCUCUUCGAUGGUGAGGUCAAGAUGCUCUCCCGGCGUGGUGGCCGCCACGGCUUCCCCUCCUUCUGAUCCGGCUGCCAAGGCCUCCGCCAUCUAUUCCGCUACUUCUCGCAGCUGUGGCUGACGAGGAGGACGGUGCCUGUGGUGGCAUGCUCCUCCUUAUCCCCCCAAUGGCCUGUAACGAGCUCCCUCCUCCAACUGUUGCAGUUCCUUUGAUUUUUUGUUGAAGCUAACUGAAUUUUGUUUUGUAGUGCACUGUUGAAAUGAAAAAAAUUGUACGUACAAGUUUCUUGGCGCGGCGUCGGGCAGUUUGGUAGGGAGCGGCGUGCAGUUUGCUUGCAUGGACGGGAGCUUCCUGAUCCUGCUCCGACCCAUCUUCUUCCCCCUAGUGCACUGCAGUUGUUCAUCAUUUUCAUCUCGUGGUGUGCCGUUUGCAAAGAUCGUGGCCGUGCAGCUCGUCUUCAGUGUUUUGCGGUUCUGUGCAUGGGGCGGUGCGGUUCUUUUUUUGGCAUGCAAAAUUGCAAAAAUUGUAGUGUGGUUGGGCGCCCUGCCGAGGUGCAGUUUGUCCACGGGUGCUUGUUUUGGUGUUUCAAGGAAAAAGUAUCGAUGAUUCGGUUGCUGUUCUGUUAAAACACACCGAAACUUUGUUGGCGUAGCUUCAAAAAAGAGAGUAUCAAAAGUAUAACGAACUCCCUGUGUCUCGUUGGCAUAGCUUCAAAAACGUGCAAAGAAUACUUUUGUCCAGUGAUGAUGCAGUUUGUUGUGUAUGUUGGA